rnacentral:rRNA from 1 species
UACGUAGGGUGCAAGCGUUGUCCGGAAUUAUUGGGCGUAAAGAGCUCGUAGGCGGUCUGUCGCGUCGGAUGUGAAAACCCAGGGCUCAACCCUGGGCCUGCAUUCGAUACGGGCAGACUAGAGUUCGGUAGGGGAGACUGGAAUUCCUGGUGUAGCGGUGAAAUGCGCAGAUAUUAGGAGGAACACCGGUGGCGAAGGCGGAUCUCUGGGCCAUUACUGACGCUGAGGAGCGAAAGCGUGGGGAGCGAACAGG